rnacentral:rRNA from 1 species
UACGAAGGGUGCUAGCGUUGUUCGGAAUCACUGGGUUUAAAGGGUGCGUAGGCGGCUCGGUAAGUCAGUUGUGAAAGCCCCUUGCUUAACGAGGGAGGUGCGAUUGAUACUGUCGAGCUUGAAUCGGGAUGAGGCAGGCGGAAUGUGGCAUGUAGCGGUGAAAUGCAUAGAUAUGCCAUAGAACACCGAUUGCGAAGGCAGCCUGCUGGGCCUGUAUUGACGCUGAGGCACGAAAGCGUGGGGAGCAAACAGG